AAGAAAAAGAAUAUAAAUGGUGAGAGAAAGAAAAUUCUAGAGAGAGAAGGAAAGUUCUAGAGAGAGAGGGAGGUCACCGCCGCUCCGGCCACGAGGGGUCCGGUUCCGGCCGAGCCUUCUUCAUGAAAUCUUCACAGAACUUAGAGGAGAACAUUCUUAACUUUUAGAUCAUCCAUCCAAAACCAUCAAGAAACAAGAAGAUGAUUACGCUCAAAACCUGUGAAGGAAGUUGUAAUCGAUUCAGAUCGGAAAUGGGAGUUCCAGCGUUCGUCAAAGAGGAGAGAGGAGGGAGCUGCGCUUCGCCGGAGAAGAAGUACCACGUGUCAAGCGUCCAUUGGAGAAGAAAAAUCAAAGAAAUACUUCGCGUCGGGCGGGAUUCGAUGGCCGGCGGCCCGCUACUCGAGUUCGCGACCCGAUGACCCGCGCGCAACCCGGACCACCGACCCGGCUUCUCGUUGCCACGCGUCAGCGUAAAAGAAUUCGAAUUUCCAGCGCGUCCUUCCGGUUUCGAACCGACGACCUCGACCUCGGCUGACCAUUCAUCGGGGUGCCACGUGGCAACACCUCAGCGCGCGUCUCCCCUCCCUCAUGCGCGUCCGUACGCGCGCGUGGCCGUGCGCGUGUAGCACCUUCCCAGGCGCGUGUGAGCGCGUGAGGGUUUAAAUAU